AAGAUUCAUCGAGGGUGGGUGAAAUUCCCUGCCGGUGGUAAAGUCCACAACUCUCCAAGGUUAUCUUUGGGGACUGAUAUGGUGAAAUUCCAUAACCGACGGUCAAAGUCCGGAUGGAAGUUGGAUCAA
rnacentral:ncRNA from 1 species